UCCAGUUCCAGCUAUGAGUUUCCCAUGGUGCUGGGGUGGGGACUGUUGACGGAAUGACCGAAUCAUACCAUGGUUAGUUUUUACUUUUAGGACACUAAUCAGCCAUUAAUGCAUGGAGAGAGACAACUGAAAAGGAACACACGAACGCUACCUAAUUACAGCCAGAAGAGGCUCAUCACCAUGUAGCCAAAGUACUCCCGUACAAGCGUACAGGGUACAGGCGUGCAGCAGUACAGCACGUGUCCUUCCCGCUCGCAUUAAGCAACUGAUAAACUCUGUAACAGGAGCAACUAAUCAUACUACCAUGCACCAUCAUCAAGGCUCAUCAUCAAAAUUCAAAAGCUUAAAAAGCACACUCACUACUGCACACGCCGGGACAAAAGAUCAGCUGCCUGCCCCCAGCACCCAGCACUCCAGCAGCAACAGCCAGCUACCGCACCGCAACCAAUUUAACGUCACGUCGCAACGAUCCAGAUUCCCGUACAGACAGUCGUGUUGUCCCGUCGCGCAAAAGAACAUGAACGAGCACGGCCGAAGCGCCCAUGGGGAAACUCUGUCGGCGUCACUCCACCAGUGACCACUGAACACAGU
rnacentral:lncRNA from 1 species